GUGCCUUGCGAAAGUAUUCGGCCCCCUUGAACUUUGCGACCUUUUGCCACAUUUCAGGCUUCAAACAUAAAGAUAUAAAACUGUAUUUUUUGUGAAGAAUCAACAACAAGUGGGACACAAUCAUGAAGUGGAACGACAUUUAUUGGAUAUUUCAAACUUUUUUAACAAAUCAAAAACUGAAAAAUUGGGCAUGCAAAAUUAUUCAGCCCCUUUACUUUCAGUGCAGCAAACUCUCGCCAGAAGAGAUCUCUGAAUGAUCCAAUGUUGACCUAAAUGACUAAUGAUGAUAAAUACAAUCCACCUGUGUGUAAUCAAGUCUCCGUAUAAAUGCACCUGCACUGUGAUAGUCUCAGAGGUCCGUUAAAAGCGCAGAGAGCAUUAUGAAGAACAAGGAACACACCAGGCAGGUCCGAGAUACUGUUGUGAAGAAGUUUUAUAUCUUUAUGUUUGAAGCCUGAAUUGUGGCAAAAGGUCGCAAAGUUCAAGGGGGCCGAAUACUUCGCAAGGCACUGUAGGUACGGUAGACACCAGAUAGGUACUGUAGACACCAGAUAGGUACUGUAGACACCAGAUAGGUACUGUAGACACCAGAUAGGUACUGUAGACACCAGAUAGGUACUGUAGACACCAGAUAGUCAGAUAGGUACUGUAGACACCAGAUAGUCAGAUAGGUACUGUAGACACCAGAUAGGUACUGUAGACACCAGAUAGUCAGAUAGGUACUGUAGACACCAGAUAGUCAGAUAGGUACUGUAGACACCAGAUAGUCAGAUAGGUACUGUAGACACCAGAUAGGUACUGUAGACACCAGAUAGGUACUGUAGACACCAGAUAGGUACUGUAGACACCAGAUAGGUACUGUAGACACCAGAUAGUCAGAUAGGUACUGUAGACACCAGAUAGUCAGAUAGGUACUGUAGACACCAGAUAGUCAGAUAGGUACUGUAGACACCAGAUAGGUACUGUAGACACCAGAUAGGUACUGUAGACACCAGAUAGGUACUGUAGACACCAGAUAGGUACUGUAGACACCAGAUAGUCAGAUAGGUACUGUAGACACCAGAUAGGUACUGUAGACACCAGAUAGGUACUGUAGACACCAGAUAGGUACUGUAGACACCAGAUAGUCAGAUAGGUACUGUAGACACCAGAUAGUCAGAUAGGUACUGUAGACACCAGAUAGGUACUGUAGACACCAGAUAGGUACUGUAGACACCAGAUAGCUACUGUAGACACCAGAUAGGUACUGUAGACACCAGAUAGUCAGAUAGGUACUGUAGACACCAGAUAGUCAGAUAGGUACUGUAGACACCAGAUAGUCAGAUAGGUACUGUAGACACCAGAUAGGUACUGUAGACACCAGAUAGUCAGAUAGGUACUGUAGACACCAGAUAGGUACUGUAGACACCAGAUAGUCAGAUAGGUACUGUAGACACCAGAUAGGUACUGUAGACACCAGAUAGUCAGAUAGGUACUGUAGU